rnacentral:rRNA from 1 species
ACUCAAAUGAAUUGACGGGGGCCCGCACAAGCGGUGGAACAUGUGGUUUAAUUCGAAGCUACGCGAAAAACCUCACCAGGGCUUGACAUACAGGAAGUAGUGAAGUGAAAGCGGAACGACCCGUUAAGUCGGGAGCUUGUACAGGUGCUGCAUGGCUGUCGUCAGCUCGUGUCGUGAGAUGUUGGGUUAAGUCCCGCAACGAGCGCAACCAUUAUCAUUUGUUGCCACUUUAUUCGUCUUUGACGGAUAGAAGCACUCUAAUGAGACUGCCCGGGAUAACCGGGAGGAAGGUGGAGAUGACGUCAAGUCAGUACGGCCUUUAUGCCCUGGGCGACACACGUGUUACAAUGGGUAGGACAAAGGGUUGCCAACCCGCGAGGGGGAGCUAAUCUCAAAAACCUACCCCCAGUUCAGAUUGGAGUCUGCAAUUCGACUCCAUGAAGCCGGAAUCGCUAGUAAUGGCAGAUCAGCACGCUGCCGUGAAUACGUUCCCGGGCCUUGCACACACCGCCCGU